rnacentral:tRNA from 1 species
GCCGGCAUGGCAUAGUGGUUUGAAUGUUGGACUAAGACUCUGGAGACCAGGGUUCGAUUCCCAGCUCGGCCA